rnacentral:rRNA from 1 species
AGGACGAACGCUGGCGGCGUGCUUAACACAUGCAAGUCGAGCGGAAAGGCCCUUCGGGUACUCGAGCGGCGAACGGGUGAGUAACACGUGAGCAACCUGCCCCUGGCUCUGGGAUAGCCUCCGGAAACGGGGAUUAAUACCGGACAUGACCUGCUGCCGCAUGGUGGCGGGUGGAAAGUUUUCGGCCAGGGUGGGGCUCGCGGCCUAUCAGCUUGGUUGGGGGGUGACGGCCCACCAAGGCGACGAC